UACGGAGGGUGCAAGCGUUAUCCGGAUUUACUGGGUUUAAAGGGUGUGUAGGCGGACUUUUAAGUCAGUGGUGAGAUCUCCGGGCUCAACCCGGAAACUGCCAUUGAUACUAUUGGUCUUGAAUGUUGUGGAGGUGGGCGGAACGGGUCAUGUAGCGGUGAAAUGCAUAGAUAUGACCCGGAACACCGAUUGCGAAGGCAGCCCGCUACGCAACGAUUGACGCUGAGGCACGAAAGCGUGGGGAUCAAACAGG
rnacentral:rRNA from 1 species